GCUUACGGCCAUACCAACCUGGCUAUGGCCCGAUCUCGUCUGAUCUCGGAAGCUAAGCAGGUUUGGGCCUGGUUAGUACUUGGAUGGGAGACCGCCUGGGAAUACCAGGUGCUGUAAGCU
ensembl:rRNA 5S_rRNA 5S ribosomal RNA